CAGCAUUUGCUUAGAGAGAAUUAACACUCAAGGAACUCUCAUCACCAUGAUGAAAGUGUGUGUUGCUUCCCUUUCUUUGCUCCUCCUGCUUGCAGUGGGACUGGAAGGAAUGGUGACAAUUCCCAGGAAUACUUGUAAGUGCCAAACUGUAUCUCCCAGGCCUAUGCGAUUGGGAUUCGUGAGCAAGCUUGAAAUCUUCCCUAUUAGUUCGUCCUGCAACAAAGUUGAAUAUAUAGCGACACGGAAAAUCACAGGACAACAGCAGUGCCUAGACCCAACUUCAAAAGAAGUGCAGAAAAUGUUGAAAAAUUUCACAAAUUUGAAGAACACCCAACCAGGAAGGAGAAGACCAAUAAGACCUCAGUAAUUUCAUCCAGGCAAGGGGUGAUGGUUUCCGUUGGAUAUCCCACACAUGCCUCAGGAACAAAAUUGCCUCGACCAAAGAGGACGCACAUUGGUGGAAGUCUGCAAGCUUGUUCUGUGAUGGUUUUUUUUUUUCCAAAGCCACAUAUUUGGUAGAUCUUGUACUAAUGUACAAGCUAAGGGCAUCAUGCAAUUUACUGGACUUUAUAGCAUGACAACUUAGCUGUUUAAACAUAGCCAACUCUGUUGAAUGAACCAAAUGAUGGUUAGAUAAGUGUUUAAAGCCAGUCUGGGAGGGUCUUCCACUUGGCUUGCACAUCACACCAACUUUGAUCUGGGCUAAGUGUGUAUUUUUAUUUAUCAAAUGUAUAUGUAGCACAAUCCCAAUCAAUUCUGUAUUGUAAGCCAUCGUUCAUGAUUAGUGAACCCAGCCAAGUAUGAUCCUAAAACAAGUAUUAUGUAUGGUUCCUGGUUCUGUUUGACAGCUAGCACAAUCUAGUAGGAUGGCCAGAAUGCUUGAAAUAAUUAUCCAAAAAAACUUUAAUCACUACUGAUGAGUUCCAAAAAACUAUGUAGUUAAUUUUAGAUAAACAAGGACCUUUGUACCUACAUUUAGGAAAUAGAGAAGAUAUAUAGCUCAGGAUUGCACUGUUAGGCUGCAGAGGUCUUGUGAGUCUGGUUUUCUAUGGCAGUUGCAAAUGUUCAUGGUUGCAAAUUAGCAACGAGCAAUGUUGUAAUGUGUAAAUACUAGAACACUCUACCCUUAGAGGUUAGAUUGGCCUGGAACUUGCUAGUUUCUCUGCAAAGCCCUUAAAACCUGGAUGUGUGCCAGAGCAUGGGAUUUAUAGGUUAAGUGGCUUAAGCAUAAUUGUUGGCUUGCUGAUAAUCUUUGGUUUAUUUUUUCAAUAUCCCUUAUUGGUUCUUUGUUUCAUUGACAUCGUUUUAUUGUUUUGAAUGUGUGGUAAGCGGCCCAGAGCCACAUCUGCAGAGUGGACAGCUGCAUAAAUGAAUUUAGUUAACCACAGAAAUAACCAAAGAUUAAGCUGGAAUGAGAUCACGGUAUUGGUCCUCUUUCUUGUUGUUGUUGUUAAUUGCAAAGUCGUGUCCGACCCAUCGCGACCCCAUGGACAACAUUCCUCCAGGUCUUCCUGUCCUCUACCAUCUUCUGGAGUCCAUUUAAAUUCACACCUACUGCU